GACGAACCGUGCGAACGUUGUUCGGAAUCACUGGGCUUAAAGCGUGUGUAGGCGGCCCGCUAAGUCGAACGUGAAAUCCCUGGGCUCAACCCAGGAACUGCGUCCGAUACUGGCAGGCUUGAAUCCGGGAGAGGGAUGUGGAAUUCCAGGUGUAGCGGUGAAAUGCGUAGAUAUCUGGAGGAACACCGGUGGCGAAGGCGGCAUCCUGGACCGGUAUUGACGCUGAUGCGCGAAAGCCAGGGGAGCAAACGGG
rnacentral:rRNA from 1 species